GAUGAAGAACGCAGCAAAAUGCGAUAAGUAAUGUGAAUUGCAGAAUUCAGUGAAUCAUCGAAUCUUUGAACGCGCAUUGCGCCCGCUGGUAUUCCGGCGGGCAUGCCUGUUCGAGCGUCAUUUCAACCCUCAAGCCCCCGGGUUUGGUGUUGGGGAUCGGCUCUGCCCUUCUGGGCGGUGCCGCCCCCGAAAUACAUUGGCGGUCUCGCUGCAGCCUCCAUUGCGUAGUAGCUAACACCUCGCAACUGGAACGCGGCGCGGCCAUGCCGUAAAACCCCAACUUCUGAAUGUUGACCUCGGAUCAGGUAGGAAUACCCGCUGAACUUAAGCAUAUCAAUAGCGGAGGA
rnacentral:misc_RNA from 1 species